rnacentral:rRNA from 1 species
AAUAGAUACCCGGGUAGUCCACGCCGUAAACGAUGAGUGCUAAGUGUUGGGGGGUUUCCGCCCCUCAGUGCUGCAGCUAACGCAUUAAGCACUCCGCCUGGGGAGUACGGUCGCAAGACUGAAACUCAAAGGAAUUGACGGGGGCCCGCACAAGCGGUGGAGCAUGUGGUUUAAUUCGAAGCAACGCGGAGAACCUUACCAGGUCUUGACAUCCCGGUGACCACUAUGGAGACAUAGUUUCCCCUUCGGGGGCAACGGUGACAGGUGGUGCAUGGUUGUCGUCAGCUCGUGUCGUGAGAUGUUGGGUUAAGUCCCGCAACGAGCGCAACCCUUAUUCUUAGUUGCCAUUAUUCAGUUGGGCACUCUAAGGUAGACUGCCGGUGAUAAACCGGAGGAAGGUGGGGAUGACGUCAAAUCAUCAUGCCCCUUAUGACCUGGGCUACACACGUGCUACAAUGGACGGUACAAACGGUUGCCAACCCGCGAGGGGGAGCUAAUCCGAUAAAACCGUUCUCAGUUCGGAUUGUAGGCUGCAACUCGCCUACAUGAAGGCC